UACUCUUUGGCAGGUACAUUAAGAAAAUGGGCAAAACAUGGGUUCUAGUGGAAUGGAGGGAGGAACCACCGACCUAUGACAUUAUUGUUUCUAAAAAGAACCUACUGAAAAAGAAAUUUGAACAUAAGGGAUGUUGUGGAUGUUGCCUAUGAGGAUGAAAGUUCACCAGCCACAGUUCUAGACAUUAAAG
ensembl:processed_transcript